AUGGCAGGCAAGGCAUCCAUCGCGCUGUUCCUCGCCGUGAACCUGGUCGUCUUCUCCGUGGCCAGCGCGUGCGGUGGAAACUGCCCGACCCCAUCGACGCCCACACCGACCCCGGCCGCGUUCGGUAGGUGCCCACGCGACGCGGUGAAGAUAGGCCUGUGCGUCAACGCGCUGAACCUGGUCAAGGCCGAGCUGGGCGCGCCGCCUACGCUGCCCUGCUGCCCGCUGGUGAAGGGGCUCGUCGACCUGGAGGCGGCCCUGUGCCUCUGCACGGUGCUUAAGGCCAACGUCCUCAACAUCGUCAAGCUCAACCUCCCCAUCGACCUCAGCGUCAUCCUCAACGACUGCGGCAAGAAAGUGCCCACCGGAUUCCAGUGCUAA
rnacentral:rRNA from 1 species